UCAACUCAUACAAAAUUCUCACAACCUUGGGUUAUCUGAUUUCUCAAAGUCACAAUCAAUCAAAAUGACUUAAGAAAGCAGAUAUGGCCGGGCGCGGUGGCUCAAGCCUGUAAUCCCAGCACU